ensembl:lncRNA
GGGACGUAAGGUGUUUGACAGCAGAGACAACACCAAGGCUGGGGGAGGUGGUGUUCCACAUGGACCAGAUAAUUACACUGCAACCCUUGGAACACCCAUGCUGGGAGAGAUUUAUCCUGAAGCACAGCAGCCUUUGGAAAGCACCAACAGUGGAGUGGAGAAAAGCGUGAGGAGGCAGAAGGGAGCUGUGAAGGACUGACCACAGCCCCCUUCCCCAUCCUCUUGCAUUGCUUGAGAUGGAGGAGUUGUAGAUGAAGGAGUGAAGUUGAGGCUGGGAAAAGGAGGGGUAGGAGAGCAGGGUGUUUCAGAGCUUGUUUAUUUUUCCAUUUCCAAACCUAUUUUUUACUGACAAUGUAUUAUAUACAUUUUCCCCAAACUGAAUCUGUUAUGGCCAUAAUGCUAGUUAGUAAGUGAUCUCUUUGUUUUUAUCUCCACUCAGGAGCAUUUCCUUAGCACCUGCACUGUUGAAGAGGAGGAGUGGGAGGGCAGCUGUGUAGGCAUUUAGCAGCUAGCCAAGAUCAACCCACAACCCCCUGGGUACAGUCAGCUCAGUUUAGCUAUUGCUUUCAGUUCUGAGCUUAAAUAAAGUCUAAAACAUAUAUAUCUUCUGCCCUGUAAAGAAGAUCAGGAGGAUGUCUGCACCUGUCACGCUUUGUUUGAGUGAGUAUAUUACUUUGGACAUCCACAUCACUUCUGUGAGCGCUCUUCCCUUGUCUACCUGGCUUGGAGGCUUUUAUGAAGAUACUGCAUUUUUUUAGGGUCUCAGCAUUGACGGGGUGUGAAGCACAGCUAUAAUCCAGCUAAUAACAAAUGCACUCACUCUCUCAUCAUGUCACAUUACAAGAGUAAUGCUUCAGGGGAUUCAGUUGGGAAUCUAGUAAGUUUCAGCAAGAUCUCCCACCUGUGAAUGUGCCCAGGGGGAAAACGUCUCAGCUGUAGCCUCACAGGAUUCUUACAAGAUAAAGAGCUAGAAUUUUCUCACAGAGACUGAAAAAUAUAUAUGUUUUAG